rnacentral:rRNA from 2 species
CCGAGAUUCCCCCAGUAGCGGCGAGCGAACGGGGAGCAGCCCGGAGUCUGAAUCAGCUUGUGUGUUAGUGGAACGGUCUGGAAAGUCCGACGGUACAGGGUGAUAGUCCCGUACACGAAAAUGCACAUGCUGUGAACUCGAAGAGUAGGGCGGGACACGUGGUAUCCUGUCUGAAUAUGGGGGGACCAUCCUCCAAGGCUAAAUACUCCUGACUGACCGAUAGUGAACCAGUACCGUGAGGGAAAGGCGAAAAG